UUGGUAAGUGGAAUAGGUGUGCGCUGCGCAAGUCCCAGCUCCAUUCUGACGGCUACGUACGCGAAUGGGAGAGAAGUGUGCACCGAGUCUGCAAUUGCGAGGGAGGAGACAGAGACCGGUAACGCGGCAGUGUGGUACAGCGCUGCCUGGCAUUGGCUUGCAGCUGGAUAGAGCUGGUGGGAGAUAGCUGCAAGCGGCCAACGUAGAAACACCGUAAACGGUUUCGUUUGCAGAAGGAUGUCGAGGCUAUUCUCAAAACAGUAAAUAUGAAGUACUUACGGUAGAGGUUUUUCACCUUUUCAGGUAGGAUGACAUGAUGAGGUGAUUGGCUAGUCAUUCUUUGAGACAUGGUUUUUCUUGUGCAUACAUUUGCGUGGCAAACUCUUGUGUAGGGACCAAUGCAUCUUUUUUGUUGGCUGCAUGGCAAUGGACUGAACAGGCAGAAGACAUGUUUUGAAUGAAUCUGCCAGUUGGCACUGCAUACCUCGCUGAUCGUCCUCCGGCACCUACUUUCUUGAAGUCGCACUGGGUUCUCAACAGGAGUGGUUUUGAAUUUGUCUUGAGUACUAUCACCGCAGACAUGUUGGCGACAUCAUUCGUGGCUACGCUUUACCCACGUAGCCCGCAGUGGUGAAACGAAGCCCACGAAUUCAACCUAGAAGAGGAUGGCCCUUUUGAAACCAACCACGAUAAAACGUUUUUUUUCUCGGAUCUCAACCGGCUCAGAUUUUUAUGGUACGGUCUCUCGCAUCCAGCCUAGAACCUAAGGAUGCGGCUCGUGGUUGGUUCAUACGCGGAGCUCGUUUAUCAUCUUGCGGCACUUCUGCGACUGCAAAACGUUUCAUUACUUUCAUCGUAUAAAUUGAGGCACGUCCAGCAAACACUCAACGUCAGUCGCGGUGUAGAAACAAGCUUCCUACUGGAGGGCAAAUAUGCUUGUUUAGGCAAGAGUAGCACUAAAGAGGAGAACUCAGAUUGACUUGGGGAGAGGCCUUGUUAUGUAAAGACUACAACAUUGAGAUGGUUUGUGAACCGUCUCCAAGUGAACAUGGUUCUUUCUUGCGCAAUCAGCCUUGCUGGUGUUGCGUGAUUCUGCUGCCUCCCAACAGCUUUGUUCCCAUUAUCUACUGAACGUUGGCUCCGGGAACAGCUGUGUGUGCAGUAAAUGAGUGGGAGUACCGCCGUCUGCGUGCAAUGUUUAGGGUGACUUUGUCAUGGCGCCGCUGCGACCCAACAUGAUGUGUUGAGGAAUAUACGCCUAGCGUAGGAGUCAUCUGGCACAAAAUAUGUGUCGUGCGUAUCGCUUAGCAGUUGGGCUUUCUUCAGCAUCUGUAAAAUGACUCCAAUUCGACGUCAACACAGCUCAGCAAAUGGACAUACUUUGCGGCUUGUACCAACUUGACUCCUCAGUUAAACUCCACACCCCGCGCACAUCGGUCCGUCCUAAAUCAGUUGGUAGGGAUUGAGGCCACAAGCACACCACGUAAACUCGUGAACGGGAUGAAGUGGUUGACAUGUGGGACGACUGACGUUGGCCAACGUACAGUCCGUGGACGAACUGGACGAGUACAGUUCACAUGGAGGAAGGCCAUGGCAAAAGAAAGUCCGACGAAAUGUGGUGUGGAGUUACCCAACCUGUGCGCUGCGUAAAACAAAAAACAAUGAGAACUGCCCUGUACGUCACAGUGGUAAGCUUCUGUGGGGUUCUGGAUUCGCCAAUCUCUGCCGCCACGUAUGUCUUCCUGGUUGAUAGGAUUCCUCUCGAUAAAGGCUCACAACAAUGCUCGUACUUUCUGUACCUGCUCAAAGAAUCUAUCCCCAAUGUAUAGAUCCCAGAGUCCGUUUUCGAUGCAAGCGGAAGUUGCCAACAUGCAGCUGCCUUUUUGGGCUAGUCAGCGAUGUGCAUCCUGUGAGGGAGGCACGACUACAUGAACAUGAGCCACCAGAAAGCUUCCACAAACAGAAUGCCCAACUGGCUGCUCAGUAUCCCGUCAGAUGCUUCUCUCGUGUAUCACUCCGACAGGGAGGUUGAUCUCGAUAUAUUGACCGGAGUACUGACUGCAAGCUGUGCAUGCAUUGUAAAGUAGGAGCGCAGGUCUGCAGAAUUGAAGGGACUACACUGUCGCCAUGGAAUGCUGCCUAAGACCUGGCUUACUUCAAGACAGAAAUAGGAUCGCCUGGUUUUCGCCUCCACCCUAAAUUGUGGGUGCCGAGUGGACUCCGCUGAGAAUAGACCGCCAGCCAGUGUUCUGAUGCCAUCAAACAUGAUAUGAAUUUCUCCUGCAUGAGUUUCGAUACUUCAGACACACGUCACAUUCCUAUUCCACCUGAAAUACAGUUCGUAAGCACGCAAGAAAAAAAUACAACUUCUGCGGCAGAUGAUCGUGAACACAUUUCUGCCCUUAUCCUCUGCCGAGAGCUGAAGGAUUAGCAAAUCUUUUACGUUCGGUUGAUGCACUAAUUUCCUUGUCGCAACGUAGCUUGGCAUCGCGUAGCCUCAAUGUAAGAUAACAGGCAUCUGAGUAAUGCGUAGAAAUAUGUCAGAAUAUAUCAUUAACCGUAUGUCAACACACUUCAGGGAGUGAGUGGAGACUUUUCUGAUCGUCCCCUGCAGGCACUGCAUUGCCUUUGCCUUAUGCCACGGCAAAAUCUAGCUUUUUCCCUGGUGACUGAUACAAACACGGAAGUUUGCGCAGCAAGAUUCAGUCAGUUAUAUCAGAGGGAGUGACGGAUAUACGUACCGAAGUGUUGUACGGGCUCCGUAUUUCUCUAUUCGUGUAGCUGCGAUGUCGAACGUCCAACUGUAGAAAUAGAAGCUGGGGAAUGCAGUCGCAAAAUGUAUGCUUCGCCGACGAGCCUGCAAACUACUUCGUGUUCAACUCACGUGCAGAGGCACAGAUUGCUUCGUUGUUACGGUGCGGAACGUGUCGGCCUGUUGUCCCGAGCAACUGCUAUUUCAUUGCUUCUGUCACUAAAUAUUGCCCGUGACUGUUUCCCUUCAUGUGCUCAUGAAGAUUGUACGCGGUGACGUGGGAACAGUGGUAGCGCACUAUAGAUUCUAAUGAGUGAUAAGACUGCCUUCCGUAACUACAUCGAGCCACUAACGAGCCACCAACUGUUCAGGAACUUUUCGCGGAUACUGGUACUGGCCACAUAGACGACAGAACCUGACCACUGUGGCGGCAUCGGUCGAUGACAGCUCUCCGUGCGAAAAAAAAAGAGUCCGCCUGCGUUGUAGAACGACUGGGGGAACACCGUCUUUCAACCCCUGAGCGAAUGUUUCGGCGCUGACGGAGGGGCAUGAUUGCUUUUGGUCCGAUAGCAAUCGGACCCACAUGACCGGAGAAGCGAACAUUGUAAGGUUGGUCCUGAAAACUCGGGCGCCGACGCUGUGCAGGUGAAAUGACACCUUUGUAUUGUGGCAGAGAUGGAGCACACCAAAGCUGGUACCGGUACUCAGGUAGAUGUGCCAAACACCGUUCAAGUGGGCAACUAGUCAUGUACUUUGACGCCCCCGUGCCAACGAAAUCUGCUUGAAUUUCCUUUGCAGCAGAACCCAGCACCCGCAUCACAGUGAACGUAGUACUUGGAGAGCCCCUCAGGCGGGGGUUUGACUGUGUUCCAUUUUGAUGUCUAGAGGAAUACGUCGGGCUUAAAUACAUCACAACAUCAUGAUCGUAAUUGUUGAAUGCAGCACACCAUUUUCGCCUGAGUCGCGAGUAUGAGUGCAUCACUGUGUGCCGCCACUUUCACUUCCGGCCUUCAUGCGCUGCGACUGAUCGAAACCACCUUAGUCCGGCCUGCGCUCAGUAACUGGCGUUCCUUGCUCCUUUAGCAAGUAAGCUUUUCUUGCUGCAAGGAACAAAUCAAAACCUAGGCGGCUUCGAGUUAGGAGCACCGCUCUGCCAUAAAGUAAAAUCGUUUUUUCGGUGCUUAGCCGCAUACAACACAAUGUAGGAACUGAACUAAAUCGUGUAAGGCGAGGGCGUGGUAGACCGUCGAUUAUUCAAGUGAUUCUCUCCCGCCACACAGAGCCCGGACAAUUUUGGUAAGAAUGCAGUAUUAGGUUGCGUAUCAUGGUGUGUAGAUGUCACCAGCAGAUCUGCGCUUUAUUUGGCUUUGGAAGGCAGCAUCAGUGGAUGUUGUUUACGUGAGUUUUGCCUGAGGACGUAACUGUGCGAGCGCAACACAAGAAGAUUAUACAGGGGUGGAUAAGGUACUUGCGCUUUGACACAGCCUAACCGCAUGUGAUACUCUAGCAUUCAUCAGAAAAGGUCGGACGACUGUCACUGGUUUGUCUUGGAGUUUCACCGUGCCUGCAGCGAACUUCUCGGAGUCGAAUCUUGGAGUUGCACACUUUCUCUUGACCGAUGCAGGCCGUGAGCGGAACAAUGCUGACGUGGGGCGAUUUCAUCUUCUGAUUAAGCCCGACGUUUAGAGACAGGUUGGAUACACGCGACAAAUGCUGCAGUACAGAAAAUGGGUUUUGUUGUCUCUUCUGCAUUUGCAAUCAGGCAGUAAGCAUUGAGCCCAUACACACGAAUAGCAACACCCGAGCCGCACAAAUUCCGUCACCACAUACGCGACCGUAUACCACAUGGUGGUCAGUGAAAUCAAGGCUCCGUUUUCCGGGGUAUACACUUAUAGGUUGUAAGCCUUUUUAUCGUCUGCUGGACUGUGCCACGCCUGGACAGCAGAACUCGUCUAAAUCAGGAAAUAUGAUACAGACACACUGUCACAGAACGUCUUAAGGCGCCAAGACUGCCUUGCGUGUUUUGAGACUGCUCUAAUGUGAAUGCGUCUGUUGUCUACCGUGGACUGUGGUGUCUAGGCUGUAAGAAACGAUUUGUCCUGGGGAAGUAUUGCGGCGAAUGGUAGAUCACAGACGAAGCUGCGAGGUAGCCAGUGUGGACGUGCCGCCGUGUUCACGUAGACACUCGUGGACAACUUUUUCGUUCACGCUAUUCAUGGGCGACCCCGCGCGAAAAUGCAAUUUGCUUAUCCGAAGAUUGUACGCGAAUGCUUGAGAUGAUACACCGAAAUUAGAAAACUGGUAAAUUUAGAAUAUUUAUUUUCUAAUAUCCAGAGAACUUGAAUAGACGUUGAUAUAAUACACUGUCUUCAUAGCGCCGUCAGCUGUAGCAUUUUGCUUUGGUGUUGAUAUAUGGAUUGUAGAAACCUUUUGGAUUUUGCAGCUUACAUCGCUUUUCCCCCUCGCUCUGGCGUCAAGGCCGUAAGCGUUGAAUUUCGAUUGUUGGGACGCGUAUGAGAUUCCUUGUGACCUAGGCUGGCCUGCCUGUUCACCUCAUUUCGUGUAUAUCAAUGCGAGCUUGUGACGGUGGAUGUUGCGAGCUUCCAUUAUUUUCAGGUGGUACGGCGGCUCUGAAGCAUGUCAUUGCAGCAAGACUUUGCACAACUCGUUCAGUGAUGUGGUUGCAUUCAAAAAUGAAAUGUCUGCGUCUUUAACGCUGUUGCUCUUUACACGUUUGUGUACUCUGCUUAGUUAAAGCUCAUACAUUCCUUGUGCACACAUUUAGGUGAUGCCGAAUUAUCCAUCAUGCCUCUCAUUUUUUCUUAUUUGCUUAAAGAUACAUAGAACCGGUUUUCGUACUACUAGCGGAACUGGUCGGUUUGGUAUACGACACGGGAUGGUUCUUCUGUACGAGUUACUUCGCCUUUCCACAGGUAUUCGUCACGAGUUUCCACCAGAACACCUAUUGCCUUCACUGCCGACCUCCUUAGGCGGUGAGUACCCAGCCGCUGCCUCCUGAACUAGAGAAGAUCACGUAUUAGCAUUUGACUGUAACGUCUUCUCGAUGAUUAGUCAUGAUUGGGCAUGUGGAGUACUUGCCACAAGUAGCAUAAAUGCUGAGGAAACGUUGGAAGGAAUAUCGGAGGUGCUUUCGACGGCAUGUGUAGCGUAUGAAUAGAAACUCUAGUACAAACCUGGACAUUGUAGGUCGCAGGACGCUUGAGUUCAGCAGUCGCGUGAUGCGCUGGAGAGCCACAGACGGAACAAACCGACACACCGCUAACAAAGUCUUAUCUUCCUUUCAUCCCGGCGGCAUUGUGAUACCCAGCAUCCUCCAAGAGUCGUGUCGAGACGAGAACGGGUAUGACGGUUUCCCUCUGCUAAGCACCAUCAGCUGCGUGAAAUCAUUAGCCAGCCACCUUCCAUUUGAUUCUAGCGGCACUAAUUUAUGUUUGUUCUACAGGACUGCAGUGCAUUCCCAAGCGCAGCCUUGUGCGUCGUGCGGUGCCGUCGUUCUUGUUUUUCAGACG
rnacentral:lncRNA from 1 species